rnacentral:rRNA from 1 species
ACACGGGUGGCGCAAGCGUUAUUCGGAAUUAUUGGGCGUAAAGGGCGCGUAGGCGGUCUUGUCGGUCAGAUGUGAAAGCCCAGGGCUCAACCCUGGACGUGCAUUUGAAACAGCAAGACUUGAGUACGGGAGAGGAAAGCGGAAUUCCUGGUGUAGAGGUGAAAUUCGUAGAUAUCAGGAGGAACACCGAUGGCGAAGGCAGCUUUCUGGACCGAUACUGACGCUGAGGCGCGAAGGCGUGGGUAGCGAACAGGAUUAGAAACCCUAGUAGUCC